CUCUCUGUCUGUCUGUCCCCCACUGGGGGGCAGCACCGGAUAUCCGGCAUCAGCAGCAGCCCCGCGUACCCGGGUCAUGUGACAGCGGGCAG